UACGUAGGGAGCAAGCGUUGUCCGGAAUCAUUGGGCGUAAAGCGCGCGUAGGUGGCUUCAUAAGUCCGUUGUGAAAGUCAAAGGCUCAACCUUUGAAAGCCGAUGGAUACUGUGGAGCUAGAGUACGGAAGAGGCGAGUGGAAUUCCUGGUGUAGCGGUAGAAUGCGCAGAUAUCAGGAGGAACACCAAUAGCGAAGGCAGCUCGCUGGGACGUUACUGACACUGAGGCGCGAAAGCGUGGGGAGCGAACAGG
rnacentral:rRNA from 1 species